UCUGACAUGAAAUUUAGUUCUCUAACCUGCAAAUCAGAGAACUUAAUAUAAAUAACCAACAUCUGGGAUGCAGAACUUGCCUUGUCUCCGGAGUCGUCGCUGGAGUGGCCGGAGUCUUCGCCAGAGGAGUCGUCGUCACCGGAUUCGUUGCCGGAGUCGUCGCCGGAGUCGGAUGAAAUGAGGUCUACCACCUCAACGUCUUCGGCCUUCGGCACGACCACAUCGACAUCCGAGGAGGACCCGGAGCGCGUCGUCGGAGUCCACCCCCUUGGCGCUUGCGCGCGUGCACGGCUUCCUCCGCCGGGCCGAGGAAGACCCGGCCUCUCCCUGGCGCGCCAAGGAAGAAGCACAGGUCAACUUCACCCUACGGGCGCUCGCGGGCGCCUGUCUCUUCUCGCCGGAGCAGGAGAACCUCCCCCUAGAGUCGCGGUUGUAUGACCUACUGCCGGCCAUCUCGCCGGAACGGGAGGGGGAUGGAAGGUGUCGGGAGCUGAGAGGUUGGUGGCUCAGAUUUAUGAUGCUACUGCUCAUCUGUGAAAUAAAUUGAUAAAGCGACUUAGGGAUGAGUUUCGAACGGAAAUACUCAGGUAAUGCAAUGGUAUGGCAGUUAGGCUUGGGACACCGAUGUCACCGGUUAUGCUUUGUAUCUGUUAGCAUACUUUAAUUCUGAUGGCCACAUAUGUGUCAGUGGGAAAUGCAUUGCAGUGGUGUAUAAUUGAGUGAUAAAUUUUCUGGCC
rnacentral:lncRNA from 1 species